rnacentral:tRNA from 1 species
GGGCGGCUGGCCUAAUGGUAAGGCGUCUGAUUUCGGCUCAGAAGACUGCAGGUUCGAUCCCUGCGUCGCUCA